rnacentral:rRNA from 1 species
UUUGAUCCUGGGUCAGAACGAACGCUGGCGGCAUGCCUAACACAUGCAAGUCGAACGAACUCUUNGGAGUUAGUGGCGCACGGGUGCGUAACGCGUGGGAAUCUGCCCUUGGGUACGGAAUAACUCAGAGANAUUUGUGCUAAUACCGUAUAAUGUCUUCGGACCAAAGAUUUAUCGCCCAAGGAUGAGCCCGCGUAAGAUUAGCUAGUUGGUGAGGUAAAAGCUCACCAAGGCGACGAUCUUUAGCUGGUCUGAGAGGAUGAUCAGCCACACUGGGACUGAGACACGGCCCAGACUCCUACGGGAGGCAGCAGUGGGGAAUAUUGGACAAUGGGCGAAAGCCUGAUCCAGCAAUGCCGCGUGAGUGAUGAAGGCCUUAGGGUUGUAAAGCUCUUUUACCCGGGAUGAUAAUGACAGUACCGGGAGAAU